CCUACGGGAGGCAGCAGUGGGGAAUAUUGGACAAUGGGCGAAAGCCUGAUCCAGCCAUGCCGCGUGUGUGAAGAAGGCCUUCGGGUUGUAAAGCACUUUCAGUGGGGAAGAAAGCCUUGGGGCUAAUACCCUCGAGGAAGGACAUCACCCACAGAAGAAGCACCGGCUAACUCCGUGCCAGCAGCCGCGGUAAUACGGAGGGUGCGAGCGUUAAUCGGAAUUACUGGGCGUAAAGCGCGCGUAGGCGGUCUGAUAAGCCGGUUGUGAAAGCCCCGGGCUCAACCUGGGAACGGCAUCCGGAACUGUCAGGCUAGAGUGCAGGAGAGGAAGGUAGAAUUCCCGGUGUAGCGGUGAAAUGCGUAGAGAUCGGGAGGAAUACCAGUGGCGAAGGCGGCCUUCUGGACUGACACUGACGCUGAGGUGCGAAAGCGUGGGUAGCAAACAGGAUUAGAUACCGGGUAGUC
rnacentral:rRNA from 1 species